rnacentral:rRNA from 1 species
UCGGAAGGGGAUCGGGGAUGCGUUCCAUUAGGCAGCCGGCGGGUAACGGCCCACCGGGCCUUCGAUGGAUAGGGGUUCUGAGAGGAAGGCCCCCCACACUGGGACUGAGACACGGCCCAGACUCCUACGGGAGGCAGCAGUGAGGAAUAUUGGUCAAUGGCGGGAACGCUGAACCAGCCAAGUAGCGUGAGGGAUGACGGCCCUACGGGUCUUAAACCUCUUUUUGUUGGGGAGCAAAGUGGCCCACUUGUGGGUUAUUGCGAGUACCCUUCGAAUAAGCAUCGGCUAACUCCGUGCC